UACGUAGGGUGCGAGCGUUGUCCGGAAUUAUUGGGCGUAAAGAGCUUGUAGGCGGUCUGUCGCGUCUGCUGUGAAAAUCCGGGGCUCAACCCCGGACUUGCAGUGGGUACGGGCAGACUAGAGUGUGGUAGGGGAGACUGGAAUUCCUGGUGUAGCGGUGAAAUGCGCAGAUAUCAGGAGGAACACCUAUUGCGAAGGCAGCUCGCUGGGACGUAACUGACGCUGAGACGCGAAAGCGUGGGGAGCAAACAGG
rnacentral:rRNA from 1 species